UACAGAGGUCCCGAGCGUUGUUCGGAUUCACUGGGCGUAAAGGGUGCGUAGGUGGUGAGGUAAGUCGGAUGUGAAAUCUCCGAGCUCAACUCGGAAAUGGCAUUGGAAACUACCUUGCUCGAGGGUUGGAGGGGGACUGGAAUGCUUGGUGUAGCAGUGAAAUGCGUAGAUAUCAAGCGGAACACCAGUGGCGAAGGCGAGUCCCUGGACAACUCCUGACACUGAGGCACGAAAGCUAGGGGAGCAAACAGG
rnacentral:rRNA from 1 species